rnacentral:rRNA from 1 species
UACGGAGGGUGCAAGCGUUGUCCGGAUUUAUUGGGUUUAAAGGGCGGGUAGGCGGCCACCGCAAGUCGACUGUGAAAUCUCCGGGCUUAACCCGGAAAGGUCAGCCGAUACUGCGGGGCUAGAGUGCAGAAGGGGCAACUGGAAUUCUCGGUGUAGCGGUGAAAUGCGUAGAUAUCGAGAGGAACACCUGCGGCGAAGGCGGGUUGCUGGGCUGACACUGACGCUGAACUGCGAAAGCUAGGGGAGCGAACGGG